AUAUUGGACAAUGGGCGAAAGCCUGAUCCAGCCAUGCCGCGUGUGUGAAGAAGGUCUUNACUUUGNANAGCACUUUAUGUCGGUANGCAGGGCAGUACGUUAAUACCUACCUGUUUUGACGGUACCGACAGAAUAAGCACCGGCUAACUUCUUCCUAGCAUCCGCCGUAAUACGAAGGGUGCAAGCGUUAAUCGGAAUUACUGGGCGUAAAGCGGGCGUAGGUGGUUUGUUAAGUUGGAAGUGAAAGCCCCGGGCUGAACCUGGGAACUGCUUUCAAAACUGGCAAGCUAGAGGAUGGCAGAGGGUGGUGGAAUUUCCUGUGUAGCGGUGAAAUGCGUAGAUAUAGGAAGGAACACCAGUGGCGAAGGCGACCACCUGGGCUAAUAAUGACGCUGAGGUGCGAAAGCGUGGGGAGCAAACAGG
rnacentral:rRNA from 1 species